UGCUUGUUUCAGGAGCUUUUAGAGGGCUUUUGGGAAGUUGUUUGUAAGUUAAUAAGAGUAUGUUUGACACCUCAUUCGAGUCCAUUUGUGUAGGAUUGGACCCGACAGUUCAGGGAGGUAGUCAGGAUUAGCAGUUGCAGAGUCAGUCAGGUUUCUGCUUGAGGAGCAGAGGUGAGUAGAACUAAACUUAAUCUUUUCGACUGAGAAAAUGGAAU
rnacentral:lncRNA from 1 species